AUACUCCUGAGGUGCUCGUCAGCCGUCCGUUUUUACCCACAUUUCACAUUACGGAGCCUGCGUCAAGGAACGGCUGUCAAGCCCCCGUGCUCCUAAAGCAUGAUGGGGACGGCAAAAGUCUUUUGCAGGGCACCGACCUGCUUUACAGAGCGGGUGAAAAAAUGGAUGGCAACGACACUUUGGGGUAUU
rnacentral:other from 1 species